rnacentral:lncRNA from 1 species
GAGGCGAAGCGCAGGCCCACAGCUGUGCGGCAGGAGCCACCCUCACAGCAGAGCCGGUGUAGACGCUUGAACGGCUCCUGCAGACACUCCCCUCUCCCCCUCUUAAAAAAACAAAUGCCCUGGCCUCCAUAGCCCCCAACAUACCUGCUUGUGCCCUCCUCUCUCCACUGGUAUCACAAACAGAAACAUCAAUCUGCCUUUGUUUUGCCAGGUCUGUUUCCACACACCCUUCCCAUUAUAUUUGAAAACAAAGCUUCCCAUCUUUGCUCGGACUUCUCAGCCUACUUUUAAGCAAAGCACUAACAAGCGCCUCCAGGGUGGGGUGGAGAGUUUGUGCCAAGAGCAGGGCUUGGCCCAGAGCCCAUCCCUUCCAGGCCUGGUCACAGGGAGAGAGGGUGGAGAUACAGCAGACAGAGGGGCCGAGAAGGGGCCUGCGGCCUCCCCACCUUGCCUCUCCCUCUGAGGGGCAAGGCUGUGGAACCCCAGAAGACAGGCCUCUGAGAGGACCCGGGUCACCCGGACCUGGACUCAAAUCCCAUCCCUGUACCUCUCCUUGGAUGAACCAUCGAACACUGAGCUUCCAUUUUGCAUCUUCCAACUGCACAGAGAAGCAAGCGGAGGCCUGAUGUGGAACUAAUGGGGCUCUGCGUCAUGGGCAACUAAACCUGGAGGGGGCACCGUGCCCGGUUCUCCCAGAGAAGAGAAGAAGGACUGGGCAGACAGCUCUCCAUCUCUCUGUGGAGGCCUCCCCUCCCACUUCCUUCCCCAACACCCCACCUCCACCUGCUGCUUCCAACCCCCAGCCCUGUUGGUUCUAGAAAGUUUGGUUGUUAUCCAGCAGGAGGAUGAGGACUGGUUUAGAGCAGAGCCAUUAAACUACAACCUGUGGGCCAAAGCUGGCCCACCCCUUGUUUUUCUAAAUAAAGUUUUAUUGAAAC